rnacentral:rRNA from 1 species
GAUGAACGCUGGCGGCGUGCCUAAUACAUGCAAGUCGAGCGAACGGACGAGAAGCUUGCUUCUCUGAUGUUAGCGGCGGACGGGUGAGUAACACGUGGAUAACCUACCUAUAAGACUGGGAUAACUUCGGGAAACCGUAGCUAAUACCGGAUAAUAUUUUGAACCGCAUGGUUCAAAAGUGAAAGACGGUCUUGCUGUCACUUAUAGAUGGAUCCGCGCUGCAUUAGCUAGUUGGUAAGGUAACGGCUUACCAAGGCAACGAUGCAUAGCCGACCUGAGAGGGUGAUCGGCCACACUGGAACUGAGACACGGUCCAGACUCCUACGGGAGGCAGCAGUAGGGAAUCUUCCGCAAUGGGCGAAAGCCUGACGGAGCAACGCCGCGUGUGUGAUGAAGGUCUUCGGAUCGUAAAACUCUGUUAUUAGGGAAGAACAUAUGUGUAAGUAACUGUGCACAUCUUGACGGUACCUAAUCAGAAAGCCACGGCUAACUACGUG